CGUUCCCGGGCCUUGUACACACCGCCCGUCACACCACGAAAAGCCUAUUGCAACCGAAGUAGCCGCUCUGCGGCUAUGAAAUUGUGAUCGGUGGUUGGGGUG
rnacentral:rRNA from 1 species